CAUUGAAGACUCGAGUGACGAGAUCGAAGGAGUGCACGGGUAAUUCAAGGAUCUGAAGAUUCAAGGAGCACCAAAUUCAAGGGGUACUUGAAGUUUGGGGGAGCUUUGUUUUACAUAGGAGUUGAAGAAUUAGGGCUUUAAUUUGAAGGAACUCUUGUAAACAUUGUAAUCAACUUUUCAUACAUAGUGGAUGACCUUGGUGAAGGCGUACUUCAUCAAGUAGAGUAGACGUAGCCCUUAGCGAGGACGAAC
rnacentral:lncRNA from 1 species